rnacentral:rRNA from 1 species
ACUCCUGCGGGAGGCAGCAGUAGGGAAUCUUCCACAAUGGGUGCAAACCUGAUGGAGCAAUGCCGCGUGAGUGAAGAAGGUCUUCGGAUCGUAAAGCUCUGUUGUUAGAGAAGAACACGUGCUAGGUAACUACUAGCGCCUUGACGGUAUCUAACCAGAAAGUCACGGCUAACUACGUGCCAGCAGCCGCGGUAAUACGUAGGUGACAAGCGUUGUCCGGAUUUAUUGGGCGUAAAGGGAGCGCAGGCGGUCUGUUUAGUCUAAUGUGAAAGCCCACGGCUUAACCGUGGAACGGCAUUGGAAACUGACAGACUUGAAUGUAGAAGAGGAAAAUGGAAUUCCAAGUGUAGCGGUGGAAUGCGUAGAUAUUUGGAGGAACACCAGUGGCGAAGGCGAUUUUCUGGUCUAACAUUGACGCUGAGGCUCGAAAGCGUGGGGAGCGAACAGGAUUAGAAACCCUAGUAGUCCC